GAGUAUCAUGCCCUUCGGGGUAGAUCUCCACCCUUGAAUAACAUACCUUUGUUGCUUUGGCAGGACGCACUCGUGCCAGGGGCUUCGGCUCUUGAGUGCCUGCCAGAGGACCACAACUCUUGUCUUUAGUGAUGUCUGAGAAAAAAUAAAUAGCAAAAAACUUUCAACAACGGAUCUCUUGGUUCU
rnacentral:misc_RNA from 1 species